rnacentral:rRNA from 1 species
CACGUAGGGGGCGAGCGUUGUCCGGAUUUAUUGGGCGUAAAGAGCUCGUAGGCGGCUCGGUAAGUCGGGUGUGAAAACUCGGGGCUCAACCCCGAGACGCCACUCGAUACUGCUGUGGCUUGAGUCCGGUAGGGGAGCGUGGAAUUCCUGGUGUAGCGGUGAAAUGCGCAGAUAUCAGGAGGAACACCGGUGGCGAAGGCGCACAUCUGGCCCAAUACUGACGCUGAGGCGCGAAAGCUAGGGGAGCAAACGGG